rnacentral:rRNA from 1 species
CCCUACGGGGCGCAGCAGGCGCGAAAACUUUACAAUGCGGGAAACCGUGAUAAGGGAACUCCGAGUGCCCGUAAAAUCGGGCUGUCCAUCUGUUUAAAUAACAGGUGAAGAAAGGGCCGGGCAAGACCGGUGCCAGCCGCCGCGGUAAUACCGGCGGCUCGAGUGGUGGCCACUAUUACUGGGCUUAAAGCGUUCGUAGCUGGUCUGUUAAGUCUCUGGGGAAAUCUGCCGGCUUAACCGGCAGGCGUCUCAGGGAUACUGGCAGACUAGGGACCGGGAGAGGUGAGAGGUACUCCAGGGGUAGGAGUGAAAUCCUGUAAUCC